UUCGAUUUUGCCCCUUAGUGAAUGUGAGUGAAUAAUAGCUCAUUUAUAACUAUUUUUUUUUUAUUUUGCCCCUUGGUAACUUUGUUACCACUAUUAUUUUUAUAUAUACUAAUAAAUGUGAGUGAACAGUGUUUAUUUGACCAUCAACUUCGUUCUUCAACUAUCGGUUCUGCCAAUUUAAUCCCUAAAUUUUUUUUUUCCGAUUUUGCCCCUUAUCAAUUUUUUUUCCAAUUUGCCCCUUUCUAAUUUUUUUUUUCAUUUUGCUUUUUGCCGAUUUUGCCUCUACCCAUUUUUUUUAAUUUUUUUUCCGAUUUUGCCCCAACUUUUUGAUUAUUUCUCAAUUUUUUUCCUGAUUUUGUCCAUACUUGCUGAACAUUGAACGGUUUUAACCCUUCAUUGAUUGAAUUACUUGCCCGUGCAUAGAACGGGCAUACUCCUACUAUCUAUCUAUAUAUCUAUCUAUCUCUAUAUAUGAGACCAAUAUUGAAUGUUAAGUGUUGUUAAUUUAACAAGUUCAUGAUACUGUACUAGUUAGAAUGAGGUGUAUUUAAAACAAAUUAUCAAAGUAUGCUCUCUCGUGUCUAUACCUAAUGCUUCUAGGGAUACUCUGAAUUUUUUUCUUAUAUACUUCUUAAGAUUAUAAAUCAUUUUUAAUUUGCUAAUACUGUCACAUUUGAAUUUUGGUUAAAAGUUUCAUUUAUUUUGCCACGUGCAUUGAUAUCAUAUUUAAUUAAAACAUUUCUAUGUGUGGUAAUGAAUGCAUUGAAAAUGUUUUGCAAUUAAAAAAUAAUAAAUCAAUACUGUAUAACUUUUUGAAAAAAGUUACAAUACAUACUUUUUAUUUGCGGUGUAUGGUGCACAACCCAUUUAAUAGCAAUUAGAUGAAAAUCUUUUAAUCUGAACUUUUAAAUAAAUUAAUACCUAAUAAUGUUAAUUUGAAUAGCCGGUUAAACUUGUUUUAGUAAGUUGUAUUUGUUUGGUUAUGAAUCGUAUUAAAUUUGUUAUGAAUUUUUGUGACUAUUGAUAUGACAUGUUUUGUUAUGAAUUCUAUGGUGACUAUAUUAUGAAUAAGAAAAUUAAUUUUAUGAGAAUUUGAAGUUAAAUUAUAUUUUAAUUUAUAAGUGGGGUUCACAUAGGCAUAUGUGUCAACGUAUUUAAGAUAUAUUGUGGUUUGAUUAUGAUCAUUGUUAUGAAUUAUUGUGAUUUUAAAUAAUGAAUUAGUCCACUUCAAAAUAUUAAUUACCGUGAAACCUACCAUUUAAAGUAAAAUAAUUUUAUGAAUUUUAUUAGUUUGGUUAUGAACUGUUAUAACUGUGCAAAAUUAAUUUAAAUAAUAAGGUUAAAACUCUAAAUUUUAAUAAAAUAUAAUAAAUAAAAAAACUAGAUAAAAAAAGAAUAAUAAAUGUAUUGAAAAUUGAACAAACUUUAUUAUAUUUUUAAAAAUAUGAAGAAUCACUCAUGAAAAUGAAUAUAUAUUAAAGUACUAAUAAGGAAAAGUUAAAAAAAAAUAUUAAUAAAUUGGAUUCCCGUAAAUGGACAAUAAAAAAAGAUGGAAUGAGUAAUAAAAUUAAUUAUUUAAUAUAAAUGGUUUAAAAUCAUUAAAUUAUGCCGCGAUAAAUUUAAAAUAAUUAAUUAAUAUGAGUGAUAUGAAAUUCUUCAUUGUAAAUUCCACAAAGGUUCCCAUACAUAGCAGUUUGUGUGAAGUUGGUUUCUCUUAUUUCAAUUGACUUGAUUUUGACCUUGGAUUUCCAUUUUCGUGCCAAGUAAGUACAAUCAUUGACGGCAGUCUUGAUUAUUGACGGAAAGCGUCAUGUGCGAUGCAUGUGCCACGGUCAGCAAAACUUUUGGUAUUUGCCCGAUUUACCUAUUUGUCCCUAUAAGCUAAUGAUUUUUACAUUCUUUUUUUCUCCAAUUGCACUCGUUUGCUUCUAUUAUGAUAAAUUUACCUAAAUAUCAUUCUGUGCAGUGAAAAUAUUUGAGUAAAAAUAGUAUUUGGGUAAAUUUACCCUAAUAAAUAUAAAAUAAUGAGUGCAAUUGAAGAAAAUAAGAAUAUAAAAAUCGCUAUAUUUCUUAAUUUAGAUUUUGUGUAUCGAAUUUUAUAAAAACCUAAUUAUUCAUUAAGCAACAACUUUACCCAUCAGUGUAAAAAUUUUAAAAAUUUAAUCUUUUAAAUAAGAAGAGACGUAUAUAGAGGGUUAAGGAAAAGGAAAAGUGAGAGAAAAGUAAAUGAAAGAUGAAGAGGGAAAAUAAAGAUAUUGUACACUUUUUCUGUUGAAGGAAAGCGUACGAUAUAUACAAUGUCCCGUUCAGUUUCUCAAUAACUCAUUGAUUGAACUUAUUAGCCCAAAAUCAAAAUAGAUACCAAAAUCGUUGCAAUUGAUAAUAGAAGCACAAAAUUGAAAACAUUUGCCCAAAAAUGUGUUUUAUUAUAGUUAAUGAGGGAAUAAAAAGGAAGCAGCAGAUAUUACAUUAUACAAUGGUAAAGAGUUAACAUGCAAAU
rnacentral:lncRNA from 1 species